AACGGCCAUACCAUGCUGAAUAUAUUCUCGUUAGAUCACCGAAGUCAAGCAUCAUCGAGCGCGGUCAGUACUUGGGUGGGUGGCCACUUGGGAACACCGCGUGCCGUU